rnacentral:rRNA from 1 species
UACGAAGGGGGCUAGCGUUGCUCGGAAUCACUGGGCGUAAAGCGCACGUAGGUGGCUCGCUAAGUCAGGGGUGAAAUCCUGGAGCUCAACUCCAGAACUGCCUUUGAUACUGGCAAUCUCGAGUCCGGGAGAGGUGAGUGGAACUGCGAGUGUAGAGGUGAAAUUCGUAGAUAUUCGCAAGAACACCAGUGGCGAAGGCGGCUCACUGGCCCGGUACUGACGCUGAGGUGCGAAAGCGUGGGGAGCAAACAGG